rnacentral:rRNA from 1 species
AAUCAACGCUGGCGGCGUGCCUCAGACAUGCAAGUCGAACGAUUAAGACUUCCUUCGGGAAGUGCAUAAAGUGGCGCACGGGUGAGUAACACGUAAGUAAUCUACCCUCGAGUGGGGAAUAACGUUCGGAAACGGACGCUAAUACCGCAUAACGCAGCGGCACCGCAAGGUGACAGUUGUUAAAGGAGUAAUUCGCUUGAGGAGGAGCUUGCGGCAGAUUAGCUUGUUGGAAGGUAACGGCUUACCAAGGCUACGAUCUGUAUCCGGUCUAAGAGGACGGUCGGACACACUGACACUGAAUAACGGGUCAGACUCCUACGGGAGGCAGCAGUCGGGAAUUUUGGGCAACGGGCGAAAGCCUGACCCAGCAACGCCGCGUGAAGGAUGAAGUAUUUCGGUAUGUAAACUUCGAAAGAAUAGGGAAGAAUAAAUGACGGUACCAUUUAUAAGCUCCGGCUAACUACGUGCCAGCCGCCGCCGU